AGCAGCCGCGGUAAUUCCAGCUCCAAUAGCGUAUAUUAAAGUUGUUGCAGUUAAAAAGCUCGUAGUUGAAUUUCGGGGUCAGUAGAUUGGUCGUGCCACUGGUAUGUACUGGUCUUACUGGCUCCUCCUUCCUGAUGAACCGUAAUGUCAUUAAUUUGGUGUUGCGGGGAAUCAGGACUGUUACUUUGAAAAAAUUAGAGUGUUUAAAGCAGGCAAGCGCUUGAAUACAUUAGCAUGGAAUAAUGAAAUAGGACGUUCGAUCCUAUUUUGUUGGUUUCUAGGAUUGACGUAAUGAUUAAUAGGGAUAGUUGGGGGCAUUAGUAUUCAAUUGUCAGAGGUGAAAUUCUUGGAUUUAUUGAAGACUAACUACUGCGAAAGCAUUUGCCAAGGAUGUUUUCAUUAAUCAAGAACGAAAGUUAGGGGAUCGAAGACGAUCAGAUACCGUCGUAGUCUUAACCAUAAACUAUGCCGACUAGGGAUCGGAUGAUGUUAACUUUUAAAUGACUCAUUCGGCACCUU
rnacentral:rRNA from 1 species